AUAACAAACUAUUUCAAAAAUUGUUUUUAGGGAAAUAGGACACAUGUCCCUCUAAGAAAAACCAAUUAAAAAUAGGCAAAUUAACAAACUUAAACUAUUAUUUAAGUUCUUACUUUUCAACUACUUACUUAACAAAAACAUGAUUAAUUUGUAACUUCAGUGAUUUGUCUGUAGGUCACGGGAGCAGUCUGGAGUUGUGUGUGGCUGGACCAGACUCUCUGAGUUGUCGUGUGAACUCUGCACACUGCACCAAGCCCCGAUGUGGCACCGUUGCCCUUGCUCAUAAUUAUUUUGCCAUUAUUUCUCUAGCCUUACAUGUUAUUUCUGU